GAUGAACGCUGGCGGCGUGCCUAAUACAUGCCAGUCGAGCGAACAGACGAGGAGCUUGCUCCUCUGACGUUAGCGGCGGACGGGUGAGUAACACGUGGAUAACCUACCUAUAAUACUGGGAUAACUUCGGGAAACCGGAGCUAAUACCGGAUAAUAUAUUGAACCGCAUGGUUCAAUAGUGAAAGACGGUUUUGCUGUCACUUAUAGAUGGAUCCGCGCCGCAUUAGCUAGUUGGUAAGGUAACGGCUUACCAAGGCAACGAUGCGUAGCCGACCUGAGAGGGUGAUCGGCAACACCGGAACUGAGACACGGUCCAGACUCCUACGGGAGGCAGCAGUAGGGAAUCUUCCGCAAUGGGCGAAAGCUUGACGGAGCAACGCCGCGUGAGUGAUGAAGGUCUUCGGAUCGUAAAACUCUGUUAUUAGGGAAGAAAAAAUGUGUAAGUAACUAUGCACGUCUUGACGGUACCUAAUGAGAAAGCCACGGCUAACUACGUG
rnacentral:rRNA from 1 species